rnacentral:rRNA from 1 species
CCAAGGAUGUUUUCAUUAAUCAAGAACGAAAGUUAGGGGAUCGAAGACGAUCAGAUACCGUCGUAGUCUUAACCAUAAACGAUGCCGACCAGCGAUUAGGAGACGUUGAAUACAAAACACCACCAUCGGUGCGGUCAUCCUUGGCGUUGGUCUUCAAAAGCCAGCGCGGGGGUGGCUUAGCCCGGUGGCACCGGUGAAU